ensembl:lncRNA
CAGAAAUUUACUUUAUAUCUCCAAUCUCUCCAUUCUCCAUAGAAUAUAAUUUGUCAUUUCACUUUACUUGGUUUCCAUACCACCAACUAAAUGCAUCUGACAGUAGAGAGGGACAGUGCCUCACAGUGAAGAGGAGACAGGUCAGGAGUUGGAGGUUGCAGGAUGGGGCCCUAACACUGUUUCCUACUACAUAGUUCUGAGCAUGGCAUUGCUUUUCAGAGUCUCGGUUUACAUCUUGACAAGAUGGACAUCUAAGAAUCUGUGAAUGCAACAUCACUAAGUCCUCUAUACUGAAUAAAAUAUUGAGGAGGAAUUUGGGGGAUGAGGUUGUUCUUAACCUCAGCUGAACAAGACAACACAGAGACAGCACAGCGAAUUCUCUCUGAAUAUUCUUUGCCAACCCGAUGAGCUCAUCUCUCCAGGACACAGCAAGAAAGUCUGCAAGCCAGGAAGAGGGCCCUUACCAAGAACCAAAUCUUCCUGCAUCUCAGUCUUGGACUUCCCAGCCUCCAAAACUGUGAGAAAUAAAUGUCCGUUGUUUAAGCUACUCUGCCUAUGGUAAUUUGUUAUAGCAGCCCAAGCUGAGUAAGACGGGAUGUAAAAACAUGAUGGGGACUUGAUGUCAGUAUGGCUGCCUCCCCAUCUUUGGAGUGAAAUAGGAAAAGCUUUGAGGCAGAUUUUGGGGGGAAAAUCUUUUACCUGUGGGAUUUGGAGGAAACAGACUUAGAUCUGGGUAAAAUAGCUAAGUAGGUAGAAAGAGAAAGUGGAAGGCAGAAAAGAAAUUAGUGAAAUUUUUGCUAAUAUCCCUUUUUAAAGUUAGUCCUCUAAAACAGGUGGCAGUUGGAAAAAAAAUUCAGUAAUACUAGUUUUUUCCUGUUAUUGGAAAGCCUUCUAAUGCACUCAUGGCUACCUGGAAAGGUGUUAUAUUCACUCACAAAAUAAUUCAAUUGACCGAUCAAAAUUUAAAUAGGUAGUGGAAGCCACAGCUAGAUGAUUACAGAAUCCUAAGGGUAUUCUCUACUAGGUCACUUUCUGGAGAAUACCAGCAGAAGUCUGGAAAAUCAUUAUUGGCACACUGUAAUGAUAGAUACUGCAGAAAUAAAAGAAUUAAGCUUGAUGACUGAUCUCCAAGUUGCUGAGAACUUUUUUGAGCAAACAUCUCCACAUGGUAUGACAACUGAUCUCCUAUGUUUGAUGAAGGUGGGGGAUUGGCCGACUUGCUCUGGAAAAGGUAACUGACAUAUCUCUUCCCCAGGCAACAAACUAAACACUUCUGAAGCAGUAGGAAUAGUCUGUGUGCAUUGAGAGAUAUAAUUAAAAAUAAAAUCUCCUGCUAAGCCAGAAAAUCUCUCUAAAAAGGUAGAAGAGAAGGAAAACAGUUUUAUGAUUGAAUAGGCAUUAAACCAGAAUGUGAUGUGCAUUACUGAUAAUUCACUAAAGAGAUUGCAAAGACAGAAAGAAAUCUUACCCUCUUAUACAGCCAAGCAGAUAGAACGCAUUACGUACCUGAUCUCAAGAUGAAUAAUAACUAGUCCUCAAGGAAGAGAACUUGACAGUAGUAUUUGUUACACAUAGUUCAUCCUAAAUUCACUUGAUAAUUGGGUGGCCAUCAGGGUUUGGGUUAGCUAAUUGGUUUCAUCCAAAGGAAAAACAUAAACUUUUCACAUUUUUAUGACAAACUUUCGGUUUGGGGCUCUUAUAUCAGCCAGGUUUUUAAAGAAUUUGGAAUUACCAAAGCUGGAGGAGAGGCUACAGUCAAUUUCAGUUGUUCUAAAGCAUCUUGAGAAUCUAGGAACAAACCAGGGGACCUGGAAAAUUAUGUAUUAAUUGCUUAGUCAGAGGUUUUGUUCACUCUGCAAGUGUUGGAAUCUACCGUCUACUAUUCUGUGCUACUCUCAUAAAAUGUCUAAGCUUUUGGUUUUGGAGGGUUUUUUUUUUUGGUAGCAGGCC